AAAUAAUAAAAAAGAAGAAAUUGAAAUGAACCAAAAAAAGGGCUAGGGUUAAUCAAAAACGACGAUCCCAAUCCCUUCUCUCAAGAAUCUCGCGGCGGCGUCCUCUCCAUCUCCGAUCGGAGAUUCCUAACACCACCAUGAACUCGUCGCACCUUGUCCACUCUCGUCUUCAAUUUCUCUAUUCUCUCUGCCUCAGCUUCGCUCAAAUUGGGAGACGAUUGGAGAAAUGACAACGAUACAUAAAGAUGAGGAAUGAAUGAUAUGUGAGCUUACCUGGGAUGACGAUCGAGGACGAUGGAACAGAAGACCAGAGAGGAGGAACCGAAGCAAACUUGUGCGAAAUAAACGCAUCAAGCGGAGAAUUUCUUCAGGGAGCUUUUGGUUCGGUUCGACGCGUGCGGCUUGGUUAUAUUGUGAACCAGGGUACUGAUGCGACUUUUGGUGUUGGUAUUGAACGCUUUUUGUUGUUGACUGAAUUUGCAAAAAUAAUUAAAUGUGGUGUCAGCUUUGGAUUGUGAAUUGAAUGAAGGUAUAAUUGGUUUUGAAUGUAUUGGGCUAUUGAGGAAUUGUGCACGGAUGGGUUGGUAUGCAAAAGGCUGUUAGCACACUGAUGGAGCAGCUAGGUUACUGGUGAAAUGUUAUUGUUAACCGGGUUGUCAUGAGGAUGGUUUAGAAUUGGGUUGGUCAAUGAUGUACAUGGGGCUGCAGCUAGGAGUUAGAGCGUUUCUCUCUUAUAAGUUUUUUGUAGUUAUUUGAUGGUUUGCUGCAUCAUUUGAACUGAAUUUAAAUGAUGUAUGUAUUGUUUUUUUUUUUUUUUUUUGGUUUCAGUCUGAAGUGAAUACACUGGCUGGUCUUAUUAAUGCAGGGCAUGAUUGACUCAUCUUGAAGUGUUUAUGAAUGGAAAGUGGUGAUUGACUAGAAGAAUUGGAGAAAAAGGAAGAUGGGUUAAAAAUUGGAAGAUAAUGAAGCUUGAAGCUUAGGAAUAAUAGUUUAGUGAUAGGUGACAUGAAAGUCAAGAGGUCACUUGGUCAUGGUCUGGUCAACAGAGUCAGUGGUCAACAGUUGACCAAAAGUCAACUGUUGACCAAAAAGUCAACCAUUGUAAAAAUGUAUAACUUGUAAUUUACUGUAGUCCCCUUUCUUUCUUUGUGUAAACUUUGUAGGACUAUGAACCAAAAUGAAACUUGUAAUCCAAGUAAUUGUAUUUUGCCUUUCCAUUUCACAUUUGAUUCAAAUUUUCCAAUUCUCCAAUCUUUGCACUCUUGAAUCAGAUGAUAUUAAAAUUAAGAUGAAAACCCCAAAGUAGUCUAAAGAUGAUUUCGAUCAAAAAGUCACCAAAAGUCAAAGCUCUUGCCAAAGCACCUUAACUUUAAUAAUAAUCCAUUACACAUUAUCUUCGCCUCAAAUUCUUGCAUGAAACCCAAUGCCAAUGACUUACCAUACCAAUAAUUAUGCGCCAAUCAUAAUUGAAGUAGCAUUACCAUUUUUAAACUCCAAGAGCA